AACGAACGCUGGCGGCAGGCUUAACACAUGCAAGUCGAGCGCCCCGCAAGGGGAGCGGCAGACGGGUGAGUAACGCGUGGGAAUCUACCCUUUGGUACGGAAUAGCUCCGGGAAACUGGAAUUAAUACCGUAUGUGGCCUAUGGGCGAAAGAUUUAUCGCCAAAGGAUGAGCCCGCGUUGGAUUAGCUAGUUGGUGGGGUAAAGGCCUACCAAGGCGACGAUCCAUAGCUGGUCUGAGAGGAUGAUCAGCCACAUUGGGACUGAGACACGGCCCAAACUCCUACGGGAGGCAGCAGUGGGGAAUAUUGGACAAUGGGCGCAAGCCUGAUCCAGCCAUGCCGCGUGAGUGAUGAAGGCCUUAGGGUUGUAAAGCUCUUUCACCGGAGAAGAUAAUGACGGUAUCCGGAGAAGAAGCCCCGGCUAACUUCGUGCCAGCAGCCGCAGUAACAC
rnacentral:rRNA from 1 species